GCUUUGUUUCUGUCACUGCAAAUCAAAGAGCCCAGCCUAAAAUCCUCUGUAGCCUUCUUAUUUCCCCCACGGGCAUGUGGCCACUCUCUACCCUCUCGCAAGCCUUGCCAGAGAUGCCAUCCUCCACUUCCACUGGGCACCUGGAGCCUGAACCUGGAAUCUUCCAAGACCCCAGAUCAGCCUCUGCUGACAGUUCUCUUGUAAAGAUACUGAGGAUAGGAUUACAGGUAGUGGCUCACGCCUGUAAUCCCAACACUUUGGGAGGCUGAGGCGGGUGGAUCACUUGAGCUCAUGAGUUCAAGACCAGCCUGGGCAACAUGGCAAAACUCUGUCUCUACAAAAAAUACAAAAUAAUACAAAAAU
rnacentral:lncRNA from 1 species